GCGGGAUUAACUAGUUUGGAUAUAAUGCCUUUUCAGACAACAGAAAAUACAGAUAUCUGUGACAAUGCUCUUUAAAGUCCAAUAUGCAGGAAAGAAACGCUACAUCAAACUCAAUGGAGCGUCAUAUUCAACAUUUUUGAGACAAGCCAAAGAGAAGUUUGACAUCCUUGAAGAAACAAAUGUAUAUCUUGUGGAUGAAACUGGGAC